rnacentral:rRNA from 1 species
GACGAACGCUGGCGGCGUGCUUAACACAUGCAAGUCGAGCGGUAAGGCCCUUUCGGGGGUACAUGAGCGGCGAACGGGUGAGUAACACGUGGGUGACCUGCCCUCAGCUCUGGGAUAAGCCUGGGAAACCGGGUCUAAUACUGGAUAUGACUCCAUGACGCAUGUUGUGGGGUGGAAAGCCUUGUGCGGCUGAGGAUGGGCCCGCGGCCUAUCAGCUUGUUGGUGGGGUGAUGGCCUACCAAGGCGACGACGGGUAGCCGGCCUGAGAGGGCGACCGGCCACACUGGGACUGAGACACGGCCCAGACUCCUACGGGAGGCAGCAGUGGGGAAUCUUGCGCAAUGGGCGAAAGCCUGACGCAGCGACGCCGCGUGAGGGAUGACGGCCU